UACGAAGGGGGCUAGCGUUGUUCGGAAUUACUGGGCGUAAAGCGCGCGCAGGCGGUUCUUCAAGUCAGUGGUGAAAGCCCGGAGCUCAACUCCGGAAACGCCAUUGAAACUGUAGAACUUGAGGACGAGAGAGGUGAGUGGAAUUCCCAGUGUAGAGGUGAAAUUCGUAGAUAUUGGGAAGAACACCGGUGGCGAAGGCGGCUCACUGGCUCGUUUCUGACGCUCAGGCGCGAUAGCGUGGGGAUCAAACAGG
rnacentral:rRNA from 1 species